rnacentral:sRNA from 1 species
ACUCUGUCUCUUAAAAAAUAAUAUAAAAAUUUAAAAUAAUUUUAUACAUUAUGUUAAAAUACACAUAAAAUUAACUAUUUUAACCAUUUUAAAGGUUUCCAUUGAGAUGAAUUAGGUACACUCAUUAUUUUGCUACCAUCAUUCCAUAUAUAAAAAGCAUAUUCCAUUUUUUGAAACUGAAACUGUACCCAUUAAACAACUCCUUAUUCUCCCUGUAGCCCCUGGGAAACACCCUCCUACUUUGUGUUUUCUAUGAAUUUAACUACUCUUAAGUACCACAUAUGAGAAGAAUCAUAUAGUAAAGAAAUCAUGAGGAAGAAUGAUAAAAAAUGUAUCACAUCCUUAUUAAUUUUCAAUAAAAACACCAACAGAGAUCAGUAGUACCUGUUGAUUAUAAAUAAACAGAUAAAUGAGAAAAAGGAA